rnacentral:misc_RNA from 1 species
AACGCACAUUGCGCCCUUUGGUAUUCCGAAGGGCAUGCCUGUUCGAGCGUCAUUAUCACCCCUCAAGCCCCGUGCUUGGUGUUGGACGGCCUGGCUGGGCGCACUGCUCGGCCCCUCCUAAAGACAAUGACGGCGGUCUGUGGAACCCCCGGUACACUGAGCUUCUUUACCGAGCACGUACCGGAUAAGGGCGCCCGGGCGGCGGUCUUGAAACCCCCAUUUCUCAAGGUUGACCUCGGAUCAGGUAGGGAUACGCGCUGAACUUAA